rnacentral:misc_RNA from 1 species
AUUGGUAUUCGGAUUUACUCAUAAAUAUUAAGUUUGAAUUUGAGAUGAGUGUAUGAUCAAAAGAAUGAAAACACGAGGAUGAUGAUGUUAGUCUUGAGAUUUGAUCUAGAAGACUUGACAUAGAGUAGGUGAGGAAUUGAGGUGAUAAGUUGCAAUACAUAUGCGUGAUACAAAUGACAGACCCUAAUGUUUAGAUAAGGGCAAUGAAGUGUGACUAAUUCACAAGAGUAAAAAGAGCAUUAAAUGUGUGCUGAGAAGGUAUGCCUCAUAAGAUGUUAAGAGAUACAUGUUAGAAAGAGGUCUCAGUACCCAUUUAUGGAGAAUUUAGUAUCCAUGAGAUAAGUUUUCCCGAAUGUUAGAGUAAGAUGAUUGUACAUCAGUAUAGAGAUGAUGAAAUAGGUCCAUGACUUUCAAGUGUUAGCUUUAUAACUGAGAGGGAGAUGGUUGCCACACCCCAGCCUACACCCCGAACGUGACUGACACCCGAGAAAUAUUUUUGGUUCAAAGCUAAUCCUUGGCGUGACUUACUUACUCAACGAAAGACUAACUCAAGCAUACAAAACUUCAAAACUGAAUAAAAUUCGUGAAACUUACAAAUCUUUAACUCAAAUGAAUAACUUUGAAUAAAAAUAGAAUAUUCAACUACCCAAUAAUAGACAACUUAAGUCUUUAAUACAUUUGAUAAGAUAAAAGAAACAAAAGUUUUCAAACUCUGCUAUCCAUUUAUAAGACUUCUAAAUAACAAAUAUGGAAGUCAGGACAAGGCCCACGACAUCCUAACAAUUGAUAUAACUGAAAGGUAAAUGAUUUCCUUUUGAAGUAAGAAGGUUCACCAUAGCUAACUCAAACUCCAUGUGGUAUCAACGAAGCUACUG